rnacentral:tRNA from 1 species
GCCUGAAUGGCUCAGUUGGUUGAGCAUCCAACUUUGGCUCAGGUCAUAAUCUCGAGGAUCGUGGGUUCAAGCCCCUCGUUGGGCU